UAGGGAAUCUUGGACAAUGGGGGAAACCCUGAUCCAGCCAUGCCGCGUGAAUGAUGAAGGCCUUAGGGUUGUAAAAUUCUUUCACCAGGGAAGAUAAUGACGGUACCUGGAGAAGAAGCCCCGGCUAACUCCGUGCCAGCAGCCGCGGUAAUACGGAGGGGGCUAGCGUUGUUCGGAAUUACUGGGCGUAAAGCGGGUGUAGGCGGAUUGGUCAGUCAGAGGUGAAAGCCCAGGGCUCAACCCUGGAAUUGCCUUUGAUACUGCCAGUCUUGAGUGUGGGAGAGGUGAGCGGAAUUCCGAGUGUAGAGGUGAAAUUCGUAGAUAUUCGGAGGAACACCAGAGGCGAAGGCGGCUCACUGGACCACUACUGACGCUGAGACCCGAAAGCGUGGGGAGCAAACAGGAUUAGAUACCCGGGUAGUCC
rnacentral:rRNA from 1 species